rnacentral:rRNA from 1 species
UUAGUGGCGGACGGGUGAGUAACGCGUGGGUAACCUGCCUUACACAGGGGGAUAACACUUAGAAAUAGGUGCUAAAACCGCAUAAGCGCACAGCUUCGCAUGAAGCGGUGUGAAAAACUCCGGUGGUGUAAGAUGGACCCGCGUCUGAUUAGCUUGUUGGCGGGGUAACGGCCCACCAAGGCGACGAUCAGUAGCCGGCCUGAGAGGGCGGACGGCCANAUUGGGACUGAGACACGGCCCAGACUCCUACGGAAGGCAGCAG